rnacentral:rRNA from 1 species
CCCGGCGAGGGAGUGAAAUAGAACCUGAAACCGCAUGCGUGCAAGCAGUCGGAGCCCCUACGGGGGUGACGGCGUACCUUUUGUAUAAUGGGUCAGCGACUUACUUUCAGUGGCGAGCUUAACCGGUAGGGGAAGCGCAGGGAAACCGAGUCCGAAUAGGGCGCACAGUCGCUGGGAGUAGACCCGAAACCGAGCGAUCUAUCCAUGACCAGGCUGAAGGUGGGGUAACACCCACUGAAGGGCCGAACCCACGUCUGUUGAAAAAGCCGGGGAUGAGUUGUGGAUCGGAGUGAAAGGCUAAUCAAGCUCGGAGAUAGCUGGUUCUCCCCGAAAGCUAUUGAGGUAGCGCCUCGCGUCUCACUCCCGGGGGUAGAGCACUGUUUCGGCUAGGGGGCCAUCCCGGCUUACCAACCCGAGGCAAACUCCGAAUACCGGGAAGUGCAAUCGCGGGAGACACACGGCGGGUGCGAACAUCCGUCGUGAAGAGGGAAACAACCCAGACCGCCAGCUAAGGCCCCCAAAUUGCGGCUCAGUGGGAAACGAGGUGGGAAGGCCCAGACAGCCAGGAGGUUGGCUUAGAAGCAGCCAUCCUUUAAAGAAA